ACCAGACUCCUACGGGAGGCAGCAGUGGGGAAUAUUGGGCAAUGGGCGCAAGCCUGACCCAGCAACGCCGCGUGAAGGAAGAAGGCUUUCGGGUUGUAAACUUCUUUUCUGGGGGACGAAGCAAGUGACGGUACCUGAGGAAUAAGCCACGGCUAACUAAGUGCCUGCAGCCGCGGUAAUACGUAGGUGGCAAGCGUUAUCCGGAUUUACUGGGUGUAAAGGGCGUGUAGGCGGGGACGCAAGUCAGAUGUGAAAACCACGGGCUCAGCCUGUGGCCUGCAUUUGAAACUGUGUUUCUUGAGUACUGGAGAGGCAGACGGAAUUCCUAGUGUAGCGGUGAAAUGCGUGGAUAUUAGGAGGAACACCAGUGGCGAAGGCGGUCUGCUGGACAGCAACUGACGCUGAGGCGCGAAAGCGUGGGGAGCAAACAGGAUUAGAUACCCCAGUAA
rnacentral:rRNA from 1 species